rnacentral:lncRNA from 1 species
GCCAUGAUAUUUGCGAUCUUUUACUUAAGCCAAGACAACCAUGCUCUCAUAAUAGAUUGUCCUAGGUUUAGCUACGUGAAUCCUGAUUCAUAGGGCUCACAAGAACCUUCUCAACCAAACGACCUUCUACAUUGCUAACGACAAGGCAAUACAUUCAACCCCAUGGUGGAUAAGAUAAUGCUAUUUCUUGUUGAUCUAAGAGAUAGUCCUGCCACCAGGCA